GCCGCCUUAAAUAUAAUCCAAUCGCCAGACUUCUAAUCUGUAGGUCGCGAGUUCGAGUCUCGCCGGGGUCACGA
rnacentral:tRNA from 1 species